rnacentral:rRNA from 1 species
GUGCCAGCCGCCGCGGUAAUACGAAGGUGGCGAGCGUUGUCCGGAUUCACUGGGUGUAAACGGUGUGUAGGCGGGACGGUAUGUCAGAGGUGAAAGCCCACGGCUUAACCGUGGAAUUGCCUUUGAAACUGCCGUUCUUGAGUCUCGGAGAGGUCGCUGGAAUUCGUGGUGUAGCGGUGAAAUGCGUAGAUAUCACGAGGAACACCAGAGGCGUAGGCGGGCGACUGGACGAGUACUGACGCUGAGGCACGAAAGCGUGGAGAGCAAACAGGAUUAGGUACCCUGGUAGUCCACGCCGUAGACGAUGGAUGCUCGGUGUUGGCCCUCAUUGUGGGGUCAGCGCCCAAGCUAACGCGUUAAGCAUCCCACCUGGGGAGUACGCUCGCAAGAGUGAAACUCAAAUAAAUUGACGG